rnacentral:rRNA from 1 species
GACCUGAUCAGCCAUGCCGCGUGAUGCUGAAGAAGGCCUUUUGGUUGUAAAGCUCUUUAAGCAGUGAAGAAGACCUAACGGCUUAAUACCCGUUAGCGAUGACAUUAGCUGCACAAUAAGCACCGGCUAACUCUGUGCCAGUCAGCCGCGGUAAUACAUGAGGGUGCAAGCGUUAAUCGAAAUUACUGGGCGUAACGCGAGCGUAGGUGGCUUGAUCAGUCAGAUGUGAAAUCCCCGGGCUUAACCUGGGAACUGCAUCUGAUACUGUUAAGCUAGAGUAGGUGAGAGGGAAGUAGAAUUCCAGGUGUAGCGGUGAAAUGCGUAGAGAUCUGGAGGAAUACGGAUGGCAGAAGGCAGCUUCCUGGCAUCAUACUGACACUGAGGCUCGAAAGCGUGGGUAGCAAACACGAUUAGAUACACUGGUAGUCCACGCCGUAUACGAUGUCUACUAGUCGUUGGGUCCCUUGAGGACUUAGUGACGCAGCUAACGCAAUAAGUAGACCGCCUGGGGAGUACGGCCGCAAGGUUAAAACUCAAAUGAAUUGACGGGGGCCCGCACAAGCGGUGGAGCAUGUGGUUUAAUUCGAUGCAACGCGAAGAACCUUACCUGGUCUUGACAUACACAGAAUCUUGUAGAGAUACGAGAGUGCCUUCGGGAAUUGUGAUACAGGUGCUGCAUGGCUGUCGUCAGCUCGUGUCGUGAGAUGUUGGGUUAAGUCCCGCAACGAGCGCAACCCUUGUCCUUAGUUACCAGCGGGUUAAGCCGGUAACUCUAAGGAUACUGCCAGUGACAAACUGGAGGAAGGCGGGGACGACGUCAAGUCAUCAUGGCCCUUACGACCAGGCUACACACGUGCUACCAAUGGUAGGUACAGAAGGGCAGCUACCCAAGCUAUGUGAUGCGAAUCUCAGAAAGCCUAUCGUAAUCCAAAUUGGAGUCUGCACUCGACUCCAUGAAGUAGGAUCGCUAAUAAUCGCCGAUCAAAUGCCCGGUGAUACGUUCCCGGGCUUGUACGCACCGCCGUCACACCAUGGGAGUUCAUUGCACAAAGUGGUUACCGAACCUUUAGACGGGAUCACACGUUUGUGAUCAUGGUGAA